rnacentral:lncRNA from 1 species
CGGACGAGGCCCGAGGGCCGAGCCAGAGGCUUUAGGGGGAGGACCUGGGAGCAGUCAGGACUCACGUGACCUUCCUGAUGGCUGAGGCCGUGUGCGUGUACCCUCCUAGCUGCUGUAUAGAACUCAGUAGUCUUAGGGGGUUUGAGCUGGCUGCAAAGGCUCUGAAAGUGAAGUGCUCCUUGAACUUGCUGGGAGACGAGCAGGAAGCAGAACCCGGUCAGGUGGAUGGCCUCACAUAGGCUCGUACUAUAGUCACACCGGUAGAGACCACCUGUUUGGUUGGCAGCCCUUACCUCCUGGGGGGCGCCAACCACCAGCCUGGCAGGGGGAGAAGACAAGAACACAGCAGCUAAGAGU